rnacentral:rRNA from 1 species
UACGAAGGGGGCUAGCGUUGCUCGGAAUUACUGGGCGUAAAGCGCACGUAGGCGGAUUGUUAAGUCGGGGGUGAAAUCCUGGAGCUCAACUCCAGAACUGCCUUCGAUACUGGCGAUCUCGAGUUCGGGAGAGGUGAGUGGAACUGCGAGUGUAGAGGUGAAAUUCGUAGAUAUUCGCAAGAACACCAGUGGCGAAGGCGGCUCACUGGCCCGAUACUGACGCUGAGGUGCGAAAGCG